GAUGAAGAACGUAGUAAAAUGCGAUAAGUAAUGUGAAUUACAGAAUUCAGUGAAUCAUCGAAUCUUUGAACGCACAUUGCGCCCGCCAGUAUUCUGGCGGGCAUGCCUGUUCGAGCGUCAUUUCAACCCUCAAGCACAGCUUGGUGUUGGGACUCGCGUUAAUUCGCGUUCCCCAAAUUGAUUGGCGGUCACGUCGAGCUUCCAUAGCGUAGUAGUAAAACCCUCGUUACUGGUAAUCGUCGCGGCCACGCCGUUAAACCCCAACUUCUGAAUGUUGACCUCGGAUCAGGUAGGAAUACCCGCUGAACUUAAGCAUAUCAAUAAGCGGAGGA
rnacentral:misc_RNA from 1 species